rnacentral:rRNA from 1 species
CUCCAGACUCCUACGGGAGGCAGCAGUGGGGGAUAUUGGACAAUGGGGGGAACCCUGAUCCAGCGAUGCCGCGUGAGGGAAGAAGGUUUUCGGAUUGUAAACCUCUGUGGACAGGGACGAUAAUGACGGUACCUGUCAAGAAAGUCACGGCUAACUACGUGCCAGCAGCCGCGGUAAUACGUAGGUGGCAAGCGUUAUCCGGAAUGAUUGGGCGUAAAGGGUGCGCAGGCGGCGUGGCAAGUCUGAAGUGAAAGGUACGGGCUCAACCUGUACAGGCUUUGGAAACUGCCACGCUCGAGGACAGGAGAGGGCGGUGGAACUCCAUGUGUAGCGGUAAAAUGCGUAGAUAUAUGGAAGAGCACCAGUGGCGAAGGCGGCCGCCUGGACUGUUACUGACGCUCAGGCACGAAAGCGUGGGGAGCAAAUAGGAUUAGAUACCCCCGUAC